GCCUCGGUGGUGUAGUGGUUAGAGCACGCGUGCCCGGAUAGGAUGAAAGACGGGUUCGAUUCCCGUCCGAGGCC